UCUUGUAUAUCUCUAUGCAGUAUUUAAUGCCAAGAUCAUCUCAUGCAGUUAGGUUCUCAAUAAGAAUGAGGCUGCCCCAGCUAGAAGUGUUAUGUGGUUCUAAAGGAAAAGCUUUGUGAUUAUCUCAAGUCUUCGACAUAGAAAAGAAGUGUUCUAGGAAAUGUUUUGUGAUUAUCUCUUUUCAAACGCCUCUGAGCGUCAUUUCUUUGGAUCUGGAACUAGAAGUAUUUUUGGUUAAGUGAAAUACUGUUAAAUUAUCGCAAUUUUUGAUGUACAAAUGAACUAAUUGUUUUUAAUU
rnacentral:lncRNA from 1 species